AACGUGAAACUGCCACGAGGUUAAAGCGGAUGUACAUACGUAGCCGAACGGGGGGUCUCAUCUCCUCGAGCCUCCAGGCGCGGUCGCGCUCGGACCGUCGACGUACGGGUCCCUCGCGGGCCCGGCUCCGUCGAAGGCCGUCGCGGCUUCGGACUCGGAGGACAGGGGGGUGGAUUUCCCUCCUUAGUAGGCAGUCGCGGCCGCUCGAGGGUUGUCUAAGGCUCGGAAGUUGGGAACCGUCCGGCGACUAAUAAUCGCCGGCGGGGACGCUACCUUGAUUCUGGCGGACUCUCGGGCGGCGGUACGUGUAGACGGGAUAUACGGUCUGGAUAUAAUUGGGAAGGCCGUCCCGUACGCGGCUGUAAUUGCGAUCGUUCAUCCGUCCCGUCUUGAAACACGGACCAAGGAGUCUAACAUGUGCGCGAGUCAAAGGGUUGGCUAAACCCCUAGGCGCAACGAAAGUAAAAAAGUAGUUCCCGAAAAAACAACCCCGUUCGCGGGGCUUUUUACGGGGGCUCGUUGGGUCGAUCCGCGCUCCCUUCAGUGGACCGGCGCAGACCCGGGGCUCGCCGCUACCUCCGCGUUCCUCCUCCUUCGCUCCUCGCGGGUGCGGGUAGGACGGUUCGCGGCGGGUGGCGGGCACCUAGAGCGUACAUGCUAGUACCCGAAAGAUGGUGAUCUAUGCUUGGCCAGGAUGAAGCCAGAGGAAACUCUGGUGGAGGUCCGUAGCGAUUCUGACGUGCAAAUCGAUCGUCAGAGCUGGGUAUAGGGGCGAAAGACCAAUCGAACCAUCUAGUAGC
rnacentral:rRNA from 1 species